rnacentral:rRNA from 1 species
AUUGAACGCUGGCGGCAUGCCUUACACAUGCAAGUCGAACGGCAGCACGGGUGCUUGCACCUGGUGCGAGUGGCGGAACGGGUGAGUAAUACAUCGGAAUGUACCUUGUAGUGGGGGAUAGCUCGGCGAAAGCCGGAUUAAUACCGCAUACGCUCUGAGGAGGAAAGCGGGGGACCUUCGGGCCUCGUGCUACAAGAGCAGCCGAUGUCAGAUUAGCUUGUUGGUGAGGUAAAAGCUCACCAAGGCGACGAUCUGUAGCUGGUCUGAGAGGACGGCCAGCCACACUGGGACUGAGACACGGCCCAGACUCCCACGGGAGGCAGCAGUGGGGAAUUUUGGACAAUGGGCGAAAGCCUGAUCCAGCAGUGCCG